rnacentral:rRNA from 1 species
UACGUAGGGUGCAAGCGUUGUCCGGAAUUACUGGGCGUAAAGGGCGCGUAGGCGGCCUGCUAAGUCGAACGUGAAAUCCCUGGGCUCAACCCAGGAACUGCGUCCGAUACUGGUUGGCUUGAAUCCGGGAGAGGGAUGCGGAAUUCCAGGUGUAGCGGUGAAAUGCGUAGAUAUCUGGAGGAACACCGGUGGCGAAGGCGGCAUCCUGGACCGGCAUUGACGCUGAGGCGCGAAAGCCAGGGGAGCAAACGGG